rnacentral:rRNA from 1 species
AACGAACGCUGGCGGCAGGCUUAACACAUGCAAGUCGAACGCAUCCUUCGGGGUGAGUGGCAGACGGGUGAGUAACGCGUGGGAACGUGCCCUUCAGUUCGGAAUAACCCAGGGAAACUUGGGCUAAUACCGGAUACGUGCGAGAGCAGAAAGAAUUAUCGCUGAAGGAUCGGCCCGCGUCUGAUUAGCGAGUUGGUGGGGUAAUAGCCCACCAAGGCGACGAUCAGUAGCUGGUCUGAGAGGAUGAUCAGCCACAUUGGGACUGAGACACGGCCCAAACUCCUACGGGAGGCAGCAGUGGGGAAUAUUGGACAAUGGGCGCAAGCCUGAUCCAGCCAUGCCGCGUGAGUGAUGACGGCCUUAGGGUUGUAAAGCUCUUUCGUCCGGGACGAUAAUGACGGUACCGGAAGAAGAAGCCCCGGCUAACUUCGUGCCAGCAGCCGCCGUAA